rnacentral:rRNA from 1 species
CACAUAGGAUUUGCCUAGUCCACCUGCAAACUACCUUCAAACGAACCGCAUCGCAACGGCAACUCAAAACCGGAAAGCCCCGUCGUGACAGGUGCGGCGCGUGCGCGUGAUCUCAGUCAGGGUCGAGGGUUGGAGGCGGCCCUCGGAGCGGUACCGGCGCGGCACGCCGGCGCCGCGCGACGCCGAGCACGAGUAGCGGCAGAGGCGCCGGAAGGAGUGGAUGUUGCGCCAGGAGAGGAGGGCGAGGGAGGACGGGGAGGGGUGGCGGAGGAAGGGGCGGCGGUGGUGGCGGAGCAGUAGGGCGGCGGAGCGGAGGCCACCGCGGUCGUCGCUGCCGCCCGCCUCCGACAAGGUGUGGCGCCACUGGCGCAGCCCCAGGCACAUGUUGUGCACCGUCACGGCGCAGUACAUGGUGACCAAGUUCCUCCGCGCCGCCGCCGGCCCGUCGCGGCUGUACCCGCCGAAGUGGUCCUAGGACGUGAGGCCCUUCGGGCUGCUUAAGCAGGUGCUCUAGGGGUGGAAGCAGCGGCUGGGCGAGGGGCUGCCCCGCCUAGUCCCUAUGUAACAAGAAUUAUCCGGGACCCGCAAACAAGUUACCGAGGUCUUCCGUCUGUAAGGCCUUCUUAUAUAGAACUACCGUCUCGGUCUAGUAGAAUAACAGUUUGGUUAGGGUUUGAAUAGUUCUCUACCGGCCCGUCGUCGAAAGGGAAAGAAGAUAUAGCUCGGGUUUUUUAUACCUUUUCACGACGCAUUUAAGAAGGGGCUUUUCCUUCCCGGCUAGUGAUUGUAACUGGGGUAUCCUUUAAGAGGACAGUAGUAACUUUUCAUAAAAACAACGUCACCUUAUAUAAGUCUCGUAGAUGAGUAUGACUUCAUUAAUUAGUUAAUAUAAGAGGGAUUAAACGAUCCUUAGAGAAAGAUCCUAGCGUGGCUGUACCUACUUGUAAAGCAAUCGUUACUUCUUUCUAGGACUUCGUCUAUUUCGAAAACCGACCCAAGAACUUUACAUGCGCAUACGACAUAGUAGACGAGAGAUACCUCACCCCUUGUAGAAUGUGUUCCUAAAGUACUAAGUCGGUGGUACCCUGGAACUUUAACCACUAAGUAAAUAAUAUGUAAUAUGAAUACCCACACUAAUACUAUACUUCCCGUUUAAUUGAAUACCGUUUUAACCUCUCACCUCCAAACUGUUUUCUAGGAUGCUCUUAUUUGGAGGAGCAUCUUUAAACGGUAAUGGAGGCUUACCACAUGGAGUUUCACACCACUGUGAACACUUUUACCAAUUACUUCGUUGCCGGUCGUAUGGGUUGACCCUUAGAAUGCGUCGGCUCACUGGAACAUGUUAGACUAUGAACAGUUCGACUAAAACAAGCGAGCUAGUGGUCGGUUCGAACCUAUUCACCGAGUAUGCUCAAAUAAGUCCCGGGACUGAGGUUCGCACACAUACGACCGGAACCUAACGACUUUAGGCUUUCGCUUUGAUCACGUUUUUGUUGCACUAGAGAAAUCAAUGUCAGUGUGUAUAUCAUACAGAAUCCACUCUUAAUGUUACCUUUACUCACACUCCGUACAACUCGAGAACAAGAACUACGAGUAAGGACUGAACACUCAACACUGAAGUAGGACUCAGGAAAGACGAAGUCUCUUCAGUGCGCAUGUGACAUAAAAUCCGUUCCGUUACCUUAGGAGAUAAAUGAACAAAAAAAUAAACUCCUCUUCGACUUGACGUACUUAGUUUCAUAAGUUCAAACUACUCAUUAUAUUGCCACCAACAUAUUUUACUUCAACGGG